GAAGAACCUCAUCAAAUGCUAUUUGCGUCCUGACAUUUCUGUUAUAGAAAGGAAUGGCUACUUCUUAUUCCUAUUCCUUUCUGAUGAUACUCAAGGUUCUCCACAGGUCGGAUUUAGUGUCAAAAUUGGGGGGAAAUCUGGUGCCCAUCAUUCAUGUCAGAAAACUCCCAAUUUCAUCUCAUCAGCUUCAACACCUAACAAAGGAUGGGAAGUGAAGACCUACAGUGCCAUUACCAACAUCAUUUUCUACUUGAAGUCACUCUGGGAAGGAAAUAACAACUCACAUGGCCAUGGAUUUCUUUGCAUUGUACAGAAUGUUGUACUGUGUCUCUCAUUACUGAAAAUGGAGGAUGAUGAUAUGCCCAAGAAAAGCAACUUCCUUGUAGAGCAGCUGAAGCUAUUGCUUCAACAUGAAAAAGCUAAGAAGUAUUCUGCUCAACUACUCAUCACUUCCUCACUCUGGGAGAUGACCUCACCAAAUUUGUAUAGGCAAAUGUUCAGUGAGAAUAUUCUUUCCCUUCCUUCAGUGAGGCACAUUCAGAGGAUUACAAAGGCCUUUAUUAUAGAUACUGGAUUGGAAGCUUCAACUGUGAAGUAUCUUUCCAUGAGGUUAAGUGGACUGAAGGAGAGGGAAUCAUUGAUGAAAUCUACUGCAUUUGCAAAGCCGAGUACUUCAAUGGGAAACUGUAUGAAUAUGAGGAUGGAGCAGGAUGUAGCUCAAAACUUAUGUUGUGUGGAAUGUUGUGCAGCAGGCUGGCUUCCACGUCAUUGCCCACAAUCUUGUCAUCAGCAUCUGCAACAACACGCCCAUGUUGUGUGAUGGCACAGUCGACGUGCGAAUAUUUUAUUAGGGGGCCUCAGUCAAGAUCUCUGCAAUAGUCUCUAAAAGUUUCAAGGAUUGCAUUGAGCUUGGAUUGGUCACAGCCUUCUAUCCCAGGCGGAUUGAGUCAGCCACUCCCGUAACGCCCCUUCCCACCCAAGUGGCGACUGCCCAUCCCAACCCCACCCAGUCAGACAAACCCUUUGACAUGACGGCCACGGCCGCCAAGUCCAACCUCAUUGACACUGAGAUCAGCCAAUUCCAAGGUCGUGGAGAAGUCUGUGAGACAGAACCCAAGAAUUACCCUGCUGAUACCAUGGAGGCCAUUAUGACUUUGGCAAUGUCUAGGUGGACGAGCUUCUGCCUGACGCCUGGCCCAUGCGGGUCUUGCCGGCCACAAUCAUGUUGCGCAAUGACGUUGACAUUAGACCAGAACAAGCAGCCACAACCAGAGCAGUGCUGAUCCACUACCGGGAGGAUGCACUCCAGAUGCUCAGGAACCUCA